rnacentral:rRNA from 1 species
GAUGAACGCUAGCGGCAGGCUUAACACAUGCAAGUCGAGGGGUAGAAGCUUUCGGGCUUUGAGACCGGCGCACGGGUGCGUAACGCGUAUGCAAUCUGCCUUACACUAAGGGAUAGCCCAGAGAAAUUUGGAUUAAUACCUUAUAGUAUAUUGAUGUGGCAUCACAUUAUUAUUAAAGAUUUAUCGGUGUAAGAUGAGCA